AAUCCAUGGUGAGGGCAGUCACGUUCAUACUCUUUAAAACGCUCUCGGGCUUCAUAAAAAGGUUCAGCCGGUGAAAACUUGAGAUCUUGGUUCUUAGUAA
rnacentral:snoRNA from 1 species